GCCAGCAUGGUGCGGCGGUUUGAGCACAGGACUAGGACUCUGGAGGUCAGGGUUCAAUUCCCUCCUUGGCC